UACGGAGGGAGCUAGCGUUGUUCGGAAUUACUGGGCGUAAAGCGCACGUAGGCGGCUUUGUAAGUUAGAGGUGAAAGCCCGGGGCUCAACCCCGGAAUUGCCUUUAAGACUGCAUCGCUUGAAUCCAGGAGAGGUGAGUGGAAUUCCGAGUGUAGAGGUGAAAUUCGUAGAUAUUCGGAAGAACACCAGUGGCGAAGGCGGCGCACUGGACUGGUAUUGACGCUGAGGUGCGAAAGCGUGGGGAGCGAACAGG
rnacentral:rRNA from 1 species